rnacentral:rRNA from 1 species
CCUACGGGAGGCAGCAGUGAGGAAUAUUGGUCAAUGGGCGAGAUGCUGAACCAGCCAAGCCGCGUGAGGGAAGACGGCCCUAUGGGUUGUAAACCUCUUUUGUCGGGGAACAAACCCCGGGACGAGUCCCGGACUGCGUGUACCCGGAGAAAAAGCAUCGGCUAACUCCGUGCCAGCAGCCGCGGUAAUACGGAGGAUGCGAGCGUUAUCCGGAUUUAUUGGGUUUAAAGGGUGCGUAGGCGGUAGGUUAAGUCAGCGGUAAAAUUGCGGGGCUCAACCCCGUCGCGCCGUUGAAACUGGGAGACUUGAGUUGGCGAGAAGUACGCGGAAUGCGAGGUGUAGCGGUGAAAUGCAUAGAUAUCGCGCAGAACUCCGAUUGCGAAGGCAGCGUACCGGCGCCAGACCGACGCUGAGGCACGAAAGCGUGGGGAUCGAACAGGAUUAGAUACCCUGGUAGUC